CAUGUGGGGCAAGCGUUGUUCGGAAUUACUGGGCAUAAAGGGUGCGUAGGUGGCUUGUUAAGUCAGGGGUGAAAGUUUUCGGCCCAACCGGAAAAUGGCCUUUGAUACUGGCGAGCUCGAGUGCGUGAGGGGUAACCGGAACGAGCAGUGUAGCGGUGAAAUGCGUAGAUAUUGCUCGGAAGGCCAACGGCGAAGGCAGGUUACUGGUGCACAACUGACACUGAGGCACGAAAGCGUGGGGAGCAAACAGGAUUAGAUACCCUGGUAGUCCACGCCGUAAACGAUGAGCACUAGGUAGGUGCCGAGCUAUUCGGUGCCUGCCGCAGGUAAUUUGGUAAGUGCUCCGCCUGGGGAGUAUGGUCGCAAGGCUG
rnacentral:rRNA from 1 species